rnacentral:rRNA from 1 species
GGUGAACGCUAGCUACAGGCUUAACACAUGCAAGUCGAGGGGAAACGACAUCGAAAGCUUGCUUUUGAUGGGCGUCGACCGGCGCACGGGUGAGUAACGCGUAUCCAACCUGCCCAUCACUUGGGAAUAACCUUGCGAAAGUAAGACUAAUACCCAAUGAUAUCCCACGAAGGCAUCGGAAUGGGAUUAAAGAUUUAUCGGUGAUGGAUGGGGAUGCGUCUGAUUAGCUUGUUGGCGGGGUAACGGCCCACCAAGGCAACGAUCAGUAGGGGUUCUGAGAGGAAGGUCCCCCACAUUGGAACUGAGACACGGUCCAAACUCCUACGGGAGGCAGCAGUGAGGAAUAUUGGUCAAUGGGCGAGAGCCUGAACCAGCCAAGUAGCGUGCAGGAAGACGGCCCUAUGGGUUGUAAACUGCUUUUAUAAGGGAAUAAAGUGGGUCACGUGUGACUUUUUGCAUGUACCUUAUGAAUAAGGACCGGCUAAUUCCGUG